rnacentral:rRNA from 1 species
CGGGUAAAGGGGAAUUAGGGUUCGAUUCCGGAGAGGGAGCCUGAGAAACGGCUACCACAUCUAAGGAAGGCAGCAGGCGCGCAAAUUACCCAAUCCUAAUACAGGGAGGUAGUGACAAGAAAUAACAAUACAGGACUUUUUGGUUUUGUAAUUGGAAUGAGUUAAGUAUAAACCCCUUUACAAGUAUCAAUUGGAGGGCAAGUCUGGUGCCAGCAGCCGCGGUAAUUCCAGCUCCAAUAGCGUAUAUUAAAGUUGUUGCAGUUAAAAAGCUCGUAGUUGGAUUUCUGUUAAUAAUUUAUAUAAUAUAUUUUGAUAGAUAUUUAUAUAAUAUUAACAUAAUUCAUAUUACUAUUUUUUUUUAGUAUAUGAAAUUUUACUUUGAGAAAAUUAGAGUGCUUAAAGCAGGCAUAUGCCUUGAAUACUCCAGCAUGGAAUAAUAUUAAAGAUUUUUAUCUUUCUUAUUGGUUCUAAGAUAAGAAUAAUGAUUUAUAGGGACAGUUGGGGGCAUUUGUAUUAAACAGUCAGAGGUGAUAUUCU